rnacentral:rRNA from 1 species
GAUGAACGCUGGCGGCGUGCCUAAUACAUGCAAGUCGAGCGAAUGGAUUAAGAGCUUGCUCUUAUGAAGUUAGCGGCGGACGGGUGAGUAACACGUGGGUAACCUGCCCAUAAGACUGGGAUAGCUCCGGGAAACCGGGGCUAAUACCGGAUAACAUUUUGAACCGCAUGGUUCGAAAUUGAAAGGCGGCUUCGGCUGUCACUUAUGGAUGGACACGCGUCGCAUUAGCUAGUUGGUGAGGUAACGGCUCACCAAGGCAACGAUGCGUAGCCGACCCGAGAGGGUGAUCGGCCACACUGGGACGGAGAAACGGCCCAGACUCCUACGGGAGGCAGCAGUAGGGAAUCUUCCGCAAUGGACGAAAGUCUGACGGAGCAACGCCGCGUGAGUGAUGAAGGCUUUCGGGUCGUAAAACUCUGUUGUUAGGGAAGAACAAGUGCUAGUUGAAUAAGCUGACACCUUGACGGUACCUAACCAGAAAGCCACGGCUAACUACGUGCCAGCCGCCGCCGUAA